GCUAGCGACGUGCCUAAGGUAUGCAAGUCGAAUGCCGAUUUAUCGGCAUGGCAGACGGCUGAGUAACACAUGGGAAUCUACCUCAAACUCGAGAAUAGCCCAUCGAAAGGUGGUGUAAUACUCGAUAGUUCCGUUUACGGUAAAGCUCCGGCGGUUUGAGAUGAGCCCAUGUCCUAUCAGGUUGUUGGUGGGGUAAUUGCCUACCAAGCCUAUGACGGGUAGCUGGUUUGAGAGGAUGAUCAGCCAGACUGGGACUGCGAUACGGCCCAGACUCCUACGGGAGGCAGCAACUAGGAAUCAUGCGCAAUGGACGAAAGUCUGACGCUGCGACGUCGCGUGAGGGAUGAAGGUCUUAGGAUCGUAAACCUCUUUUAUCUGGGAACAAGUUCUGAGUGUACCAGAUGAAUAAGUGCCUGCCAACCACGUGCCAGAAGCAUCGGUAAUGCGUGGGGCACGAGCGUUAUCCGGAUUUACUGGGCGUAAAGAGAUGCGUAGGCGCCUUUUUAAGUCACUUGUAAAAUCUCCCCGCUCAACGGGGAAACUGCAAGUGAUACUGAAUUGGUUGAGUCAAGUAGAGGAGAGGGGAAUUCCUGGUGGAGCGGUUAAAUGCGUUGAUAUCAGGAGGAAUACCAAGUGCGAAGGCACCUCUCUGGACUUGUACUGACGCUAAGGCUCGAAAGUGUGGGGAGCAAAACGGAUUAGAUACCCGUGUAGUCCACACUGUAAACGAUCCCUGCUAGAUGUUUGC
rnacentral:rRNA from 1 species